rnacentral:rRNA from 1 species
CCAAUAGCGUAUAUUAAAGUUGUUGCAGUUAAAAAGCUUGUAGUUGAAUUUCAGGCCUGGCUGGACGGUCCGCCCUUCGGGUGAGUACUGUCUGUGGUCGGGUCCUACCUUCUGGCGAAGCGUCAUGGCCUUAACCGGCCGUGGCGGGGAACCAGGACUUUUACUGUGAAAAAAUUAGAGUGUUCAAAGCAGGCAAAUCGCUUGGAUACAUUAGCAUGGAAUAAUGGAAUAGGACAAUGGUUCUAUUUGUUGGUUUCUAGGACCGUUGUAAUGAUUAAUAGGGAUAGUUGGGGGCAUUAGUAUUCAAUUGUCAGAGGUGAAAUUCUUGGAUUUAUUGAAGACUAACUACUGCGAAAGCAUUUGCCAAGGAUGUUUUCAUUAAUCAAGAACGAAAGUUAGGGGAUCGAAGACGAUCAGAUACCGUCGUAGUCUUAACCAUAAACUAUGCCGACUAGGGAUCGGAUGAUGUUAAUUUUAUAAUGACUCAUUCGGCGCCUUACG